AUCCGGGGCAGCGGGGAAUGGCUGAGCCAGGGGUUCGCCGCCCCCGCCGCCGCCGCCGCCGCCGCCGCCGCCGCCGCCGCCCGCUUUCGGCUCGGGCCUCAGCAAGAAAAACUGGAGAUUGAGAAGCGGGCCAUUGUAGAGGAUCACAGCUUGGUUGCAGAGGAGAAGAUGAGGCUGCUGAAGGAGAAAGAGAAAAAGAUGGAGGACCUGCGGCGGGAG
rnacentral:lncRNA from 10 species